UCCGAAAUGUAGACAAAGCA
rnacentral:miRNA from 1 species